rnacentral:rRNA from 1 species
ACGAACGCUGGCGGCACGCUUAACACAUGCAAGUCGAACGAGAGAAGAGGAGCUUGCUUUUCUGUUCUAGUGGCGGACGGGUGAGUAACACGUGAGCAAUCUGCCUUUCAGAGGGGGAUACCGAUUGGAAACGAUCGUUAAUACCGCAUAACAUAAUUGAACCGCAUGAUUUGAUUAUCAAAGAUUUAUCGCUGAAAGAUGAGCUCGCGUCUGAUUAGCUAGUUGGUAAGGUAACGGCUUACCAAGGCGACGAUCAGUAGCCGGACUGAGAGGUUGAUCGGCCACAUUGGGACUGAGACACGGCCCAGACUCCUACGGGAGGCAGCAGUGGGGAAUAUUGCACAAUGGAGGAAACUCUGAUGCAGCGAUGCCGCGUGAGGGAAGAAGGUUUUAGGAUUGUAAACCUCUGUCUUCAGGGACGAAAAAAGACGGUACCUGAGGAGGAAGCUCCGGCUAACUACGUGCCAGCAGCCGCGGUAAUACGUAGGGAGCGAGCGUUGUCCGGAAUUACUGGGUGUAAAGGGAGCGUAGGCGGGAUCGCAAGUCAGAUGUGAAAACUAUGGGCUUAACCCAUAAACUGCAUUUGAAACUGUGGUUCUUGAGUGAAGUAGAGGUAAGCGGAAUUCCUAGUGUAGCGGUGAAAUGCGUAGAUAUUAGGAGGAACAUCAGUGGCGAAGGCGGCUUACUGGGCUUUAACUGACGCUGAGGCUCGAAAGCGUGGGGAGCAAACAGGAUUAGAUACCCUGGUAGUCCACGCCGUAAACGAUGAUUACUAGGUGUGGGGGGACUGACCCCUUCCGUGCCGCAGCAAACGCAAUAAGUAAUCCACCUGGGGAGUACGACCGCAAGGUUGAAACUCAAAGGAAUUGACGGGGGCCCGCACAAGCAGUGGAGUAUGUGGAUUAAUUCGAAGCAACGCGAAGAACCUUACCAGGUCUUGACAUCGUAUGCAUAGCUCAGAGAUGAGUGAAAUCUCUUCGGAGACAUAUAGACAGGUGGUGCAUGGUUGUCGUCAGCUCGUGUCGUGAGAUGUUGGGUUAAGUCCCGCAACGAGCGCAACCCUUACUGUUAGUUGCUACGCAAGAGCACUCUAGCAGGACUGCCGUUGACAAAACGGAGGAAGGUGGGGAUGACGUCAAAUCAUCAUGCCCCUUAUGACCUGGGCCUCACACGUACUACAAUGGCUGUCAACAGAGGGAAGCAAAGCCGCGAGGUGGAGCGAACCCCUAAAAGCAGUCUUAGUUCGGAUUGUAGGCUGCAACCCGCCUACAUGAAGUCGGAAUUGCUAGUAAUCGCAGAUCAGCAUGCUGCGGUGAAUACGUUCCCGGGCCUUGUACACACCGCCCGUCACGCCAUGGGAGUCGGUAACACCCGAAGCCUGUAGUCUAACCGCAAGGAGGACGCAGUCGAAGGUGGGAUUGAUGACUGGGGUG